rnacentral:rRNA from 1 species
UACGUAGGGAGCAAGCGUUGUCCGGAAUCAUUGGGCGUAAAGGGUAGGUAGGUGGUCUCAUUUGUCUGGGGUGAAAGCCCAGGGCUUAACCCUGGAAGUGCCCCAGAAACGGUGAGACUCGAGUACUGGAGAGGGUCGUGGAAUUCCCGGUGUAGCGGUGAAAUGCGUAGAGAUCGGGAGGAACACCAGAGGCGAAGGCGGCGACCUGGACAGUUACUGACACUCAACUACGAAAGCGUGGGGAGCAAACAGG